GCAUCUCUUCAAACUCCAAAACACCAUCGCUGUCCACAACCUCGAUUACCAUCGCCGCACCACCUCCCCUACACCUCCAUUACCGCACCAUUCGCUGCGCCUCCCGUCGACACGCCCAGCUGCCGUCCACACCCUCCGCCUCACGCCCAGCCGCCGCCGGACGCAACUGCCGCACCACCCCGCCGCCGGUCGCCCUCCCCUGCUCUUCGCCGCUGCUGCUCGCCGGGUCCUCUAGCCCAUCGCCUUCCAGAUCCGACGCCUCCAGCCCCGUCGCUGUCGCCAUCGGUCUCCUCUCCUAAUGAGCUUGUGAGCAUGCUUAUUGAAUUGGGAGUGUCAUCUAACCACAAAACACAGGCUUUUGCACUCAAGAUUUUUUCUAGAUUUUUGCGGUGACGACGAAAAUUUCUCAGCAAUGUGAACUCAGGAGACGAACUUCUGAAGAAGAGGAUGAUGGUGCUGAUAGUUCUGAGAGGAGACAAUUAGGAGAUCUGAUGAAGAUGAACGUUAUUGGGGCAGAAGGAAGCAAGAUGCAGAAGAAUCAGCGUGGUCGGAUAAUUCUACUCAUGUAAUAUCACAGUUAGCCCAUUGUUUUAGUGAGUGCAUAUUGUUGAUACUCUUUUUGGAUAGUUUUCUUACCUAUAUAUCUCUGAACUAGUAUAUUUAUUUUUUGCUAUAGAU